rnacentral:lncRNA from 1 species
CGUCACAUGUGCAAAAGAGAAAAAAAAUAAAAAAAAUAAAACUCACAAAACUUGCACACACUUGCCCUUAGAAAAAUAGAGAUUUAAAGGAGGAGGAUUAAAAAUGAAAUUAUAGCUUCAAUAUUAAAACCUUAAUCGUAACACCUAUGAGCUAGAGAAAUCGAAUCGUCGAAAAUGAAAUCCGUAGUAAUAAAAAAGCGAAAAGUAUGGGAUAGAGGUAUUGAAAGAAAAAAAGCUGA